rnacentral:rRNA from 1 species
CAGCCGCCACGGUAAUACGAAGGGGGCUAGCGUUGUUCGGAAUUACUGGGCGUAAAGGGCGCGUAGGCGGCCAUUCAAGUUAGAUGUGAAAGCCCUGGGCUCAACCUAGGAAUUGCAUUUGAUACUGUUUGGCUUGAGUUCGGGAGAGGUGAGUGGAAUUCCCAGUGUAGAGGUGAAAUUCGUAGAUAUUGGGAAGAACACCAGUGGCGAAGGCGGCUCACUGGACCGACACUGACGCUGAGGCGCGAAAGCGUGGGGAGCAAACAGGAUUAGAUACCCCCGUAGUCCCUGUCUCUUAUAC